GGGGGUGAAAUAGGUUUCGACGGAAUUAAUUUAGAUAAAACAACAGGUCGGAGUUAGUCGAUGGCUCCGGAAAAAUCGACUAAAAAAUAAACGCAAACGAAAAGUAUAAUAGUAAUAAUUUAGCAAUGGCUGCAUAAAAAAAGAACCAAAAAUAUAAAGCUAUACAAAUAAAUCAGUAAUAGUAGAAAAUGUCUAUUUAAUGUCUAAUUUUAUAGAUAUUGUUUUUGUUGUUAUAGGCUAAACCUGUAAAAAAUUGUUUUAUCGAUUUUUUUUUCGGACGCGGGUUCGAUUCCCGCCACCUCCAUUA
rnacentral:tmRNA from 1 species